UACGUAGGAGGCGAGCGUUGUCCGGAAUUACUGGGCGUAAAGAGCGUGUAGGCGGCCAGGUAGGUCAGCUGUGAAAACUCGAGGCUCAACCUCGAGACGCCGGUUGAAACCAUCUGGCUAGAGUCCGGAAGAGGAGAGUGGAAUUCCUGGUGUAGCGGUGAAAUGCGCAGAUAUCAGGAAGAACACCCGUGGCUAAGGCGGCUCUCUAGUACGGUACUGACGCUGAGACGCGAAAGCGUGGGGAGCGAACAGG
rnacentral:rRNA from 1 species